CCCUAGUAACGGCGAGUGAAGCGGCAACAGCUCAAAUUUGAAAUCUGGCGCAAGCCCGAGUUGUAAUUUGUAGAGGAUGCUUCUAGGUAGCGACCGGUCUAAGUUCCUUGGAACAGGACGUCAUAGAGGGUGAGAAUCCCGUAUGUGACCGGCCCGCACCUUCUACGUAGCUCCUUCGACGAGUCGAGUUGUUUGGGAAUGCAGCUCUAAAUGGGAGGUAAAUUUCUUCUAAAGCUAAAUACCGGCCAGAGACCGAUAGCGCACAAGUAGAGUGAUCGAAAGAUGAAAAGCACUUUGGAAAGAGAGUUAAAAAGCACGUGAAAUUGUUGAAAGGGAAGCGCUCACAACCAGACUUCUGGGCGGUGUUCCGCCGGUCUUCUGACCGGUCUACUCACCGUCCCGAGGCCAACAUCAUCUGGGACCGCUGGAUAAGACCUUAGGAAUGUAGCUCCCCCUCGGGGGAGUGUUAUAGCCUGUGGUGAUGCAGCGCGUCUCGGGUGAGGUCCGCGCUUCGGCAAGGAUGUUGGCGUAAUGGUUGUCAGCGGCCCGUCUUGAAACACGGACCAAGGAGUCUAACAUCUAUGCGAGUGUUCGGGUGUCAAACCCCUACGCGUAAUGAAAGUGAACGGAGGUGGGAAGCGUAAGCUGCACCAUCGACCGAUCCUGAUGUCCUCGGAUGGAUUUGAGUAAGAGCAUAGCUGUUGGGACCCGAAAGAUGGUGAACUAUGCCUGAAUAGGGUGAAGCCAGAGGAAACUCUGGUGGAGGCUCGCAGCGGUUCUGACGUGCAAAUCGAUCGUCAAAUUUGGGUAUAGGGGCGAAAGACUAAUCGAACCAU
rnacentral:rRNA from 1 species